rnacentral:lncRNA from 1 species
CACAAUACUGCUGAAAUCUUUCGCACUGGACCUCUUGAUGUUUUUUCAGGUUUUCUGAUUUUUCCACAUAGCCAACGAGCUAGAAACUCUUUCACUCAGAGAUAUGACUUUACCUGUCAGCUUUUAUCACACUCUCACCAAGUCUCUCUGGGUUAAAGUAUUAUCACUCUCAAAUCACAAUAUGCAAUAUCAAAUCAGAAGUUUGAAU